CCUGGCCGUACCCACUGAGCCCUUACUGGUAUGAGCCCCCUCUGCCCCCAGGGGAGCUGUCAGCCCGUCUCCCACAUCCAACUGCCUGCCCCUUUGCCGCCCGGGUGUAACACCGGAGGCAGACUCACCGGGACGCCCUUGGGCUGUGUCAUCCCCUCCACUGGCCUCUGCACACAUGGCUGUCCUGGAGGCCGCCGCCGCUCCUGGCACCCUGCCGUUCGCCGUCCGCCGGGCGGCGCUCCGCGUGGUAGGCCGCAGAGCCGUCACCGGCCUAAUCGCCGUCCGUGCCCGACCGGCACCACGUCGAACAGACGGUGCCGGCGGCGUUUUUUCUGCCUCCUCCCGGCCGGCCCCCACAGCCAGGGACCCGCCCGCGUCCGCGGACGGGCUCAGACGCCGCCGUGCUGCAGGCAUCACGCCCGGACUCAGCCGCUGGGGCGGUCUCACCCUCCUCACCGACCGCCGUUCCGCUGCCGCAGGGGGUGCAUCACUGGUCCCAGGAACCCCCAGCUGCUGUUGAAGCCAGGCCAUCCCCCUGUCACGCACAGCCGCUCUCACUCCGUCCAGGAUCUCGUCCAGCGAAGCCAUCUGCAAAAUAAAGAACAAGAAACCACACAGACCUGCCAAAACAAUUAACAGGUAAGUGCAGAUUCUGGUUAAAAUGGCCACUUGCUAAAAUGGCCGCUUAAUAUACUCCCUCUAUUCUCCACCCCUUAUUACAAUCCAUUCCUAAAUUCCCACCCCUAAAAUUAUAACUCCACCUGCCUACUCCUUGGCUCUGUCAAGGCCCAUUCCCCUGACUGCGCUGAUCCAUGGGCUUCAAUCCAAUAAGAAGCGAUAAAAACCCCCACUAUACAUGAUGGUAAAGAGUAACUAACAUACAAUAAUCUUCAGUGUUAUAUGAGCCAUUUAUUCAGUUAGCAGAGAGGCAGACAGAUGUAUAUUAAAUCCCUGCAUCCAUCUCUGGUGGCAAUCUGUUUUAUUUGCCUGGGCCAGGGCACCCAGGAGCAUUUAGUGUACGGGAAGGAGCACUAUGGAAAAUAUGUUUAUACUGAUAAAUUUGCUAACCCUUUGACUUGCACAUCAUAAAUGAAUAUUGACAGCACUACCAAGCGGGAAUUACUCAUGUGAGCUUUGACAAGGUAAUUUAAC